GGUUAAGCGACUAAGCGUACACGGUGGAUGCCCUGGCAGUCAGAGGCGAUGAAGGACGUGCUAAUCUGCGAUAAGCGUCGGUAAGGUGAUAUGAACCGUUAUAACCGGCGAUUUCCGAAUGGGGAAACCCAGUGUGAUUCGUCACACUAUCAUUAACUGAAUCCAUAGGUUAAUGAGGCGAACCGGGGGAACUGAAACAUCUAAGUACCCCGAGGAAAAGAAAUCAACCGAGAUUCCCCCAGUAGCGGCGAGCGAACGGGGAGCAGCCCAGAGCCUGAAUCAGUGUGUGUGUUAGUGGAAGCGUCUGGAAAGGCGCGCGAUACAGGGUGACAGCCCCGUACACAAAAAUGCACAUGCUGUGAGCUCGAUGAGUAGGGCGGGACACGUGGUAUCCUGUCUGAAUAUGGGGGGACCAUCCUCCAAGGCUAAAUACUCCUGACUGACCGAUAGUGAACCAGUACCGUGAGGGAAAGGCGAAAAGAACCCCGGCGAGGGGAGUGAAAAAGAACCUGAAACCGUGUACGUACAAGCAGUGGGAGCACAGAGCAAUCUGUGUGACUGCGUACCUUUUGUAUAAUGGGUCAGCGACUUAUAUUCUGUAGCAAGGUUAACCGAAUAGGGGAGCCGAAGGGAAACCGAGUCUUAACUGGGCGUUAAGUUGCAGGGUAUAGACCCGAAACCCGGUGAUCUAGCCAUGGGCAGGUUGAAGGUUGGGUAACACUAACUGGAGGACCGAACCGACUAAUGUUGAAAAAUUAGCGGAUGACUUGUGGCUGGGGGUGAAAGGCCAAUCAAACCGGGAGAUAGCUGGUUCUCCCCGAAAGCUAUUUAGGUAGCGCCUCGUGAAUUCAUCUCCGGGGGUAGAGCACUGUUUCGGCAAGGGGGUCAUCCCGACUUACCAACCCGAUGCAAACUGCGAAUACCGGAGAAUGUUAUCACGGGAGACACACGGCGGGUGCUAACGUCCGUCGUGAAGAGGGAAACAACCCAGACCGCCAGCUAAGGUCCCAAAGUCAUGGUUAAGUGGGAAACGAUGUGGGAAGGCCCAGACAGCCAGGAUGUUGGCUUAGAAGCAGCCAUCAUUUAAAGAAAGCGUAAUAGCUCACUGGUCGAGUCGGCCUGCGCGGAAGAUGUAACGGGGCUAAACCAUGCACCGAAGCUGCGGCAGCGACACUGUGUGUUGUUGGGUAGGGGAGCGUUCUGUAAGCCUGCGAAGGUGUGCUGUGAGGCAUGCUGGAGGUAUCAGAAGUGCGAAUGCUGACAUAAGUAACGAUAAAGCGGGUGAAAAGCCCGCUCGCCGGAAGACCAAGGGUUCCUGUCCAACGUUAAUCGGGGCAGGGUGAGUCGACCCCUAAGGCGAGGCCGAAAGGCGUAGUCGAUGGGAAACAGGUUAAUAUUCCUGUACUUGGUGUUACUGCGAAGGGGGGACGGAGAAGGCUAUGUUGGCCGGGCGACGGUUGUCCCGGUUUAAGCGUGUAGGCUGGUUUUCCAGGCAAAUCCGGAAAAUCAAGGCUGAGGCGUGAUGACGAGGCACUACGGUGCUGAAGCAACAAAUGCCCUGCUUCCAGGAAAAGCCUCUAAGCAUCAGGUAACAUCAAAUCGUACCCCAAACCGACACAGGUGGUCAGGUAGAGAAUACCAAGGCGCUUGAGAGAACUCGGGUGAAGGAACUAGGCAAAAUGGUGCCGUAACUUCGGGAGAAGGCACGCUGAUAUGUAGGUGAAGUCCCUCGCGGAUGGAGCUGAAAUCAGUCGAAGAUACCAGCUGGCUGCAACUGUUUAUUAAAAACACAGCACUGUGCAAACACGAAAGUGGACGUAUACGGUGUGACGCCUGCCCGGUGCCGGAAGGUUAAUUGAUGGGGUCAGCGCAAGCGAAGCUCUUGAUCGAAGCCCCGGUAAACGGCGGCCGUAACUAUAACGGUCCUAAGGUAGCGAAAUUCCUUGUCGGGUAAGUUCCGACCUGCACGAAUGGCGUAAUGAUGGCCAGGCUGUCUCCACCCGAGACUCAGUGAAAUUGAACUCGCUGUGAAGAUGCAGUGUACCCGCGGCAAGACGGAAAGACCCCGUGAACCUUUACUAUAGCUUGACACUGAACAUUGAGCCUUGAUGUGUAGGAUAGGUGGGAGGCUUUGAAGUGUGGACGCCAGUCUGCAUGGAGCCGACCUUGAAAUACCACCCUUUAAUGUUUGAUGUUCUAACGUUGACCCGUGAUCCGGGUUGCGGACAGUGUCUGGUGGGUAGUUUGACUGGGGCGGUCUCCUCCUAAAGAGUAACGGAGGAGCACGAAGGUUGGCUAAUCCUGGUCGGACAUCAGGAGGUUAGUGCAAUGGCAUAAGCCAGCUUGACUGCGAGCGUGACGGCGCGAGCAGGUGCGAAAGCAGGUCAUAGUGAUCCGGUGGUUCUGAAUGGAAGGGCCAUCGCUCAACGGAUAAAAGGUACUCCGGGGAUAACAGGCUGAUACCGCCCAAGAGUUCAUAUCGACGGCGGUGUUUGGCACCUCGAUGUCGGCUCAUCACAUCCUGGGGCUGAAGUAGGUCCCAAGGGUAUGGCUGUUCGCCAUUUAAAGUGGUACGCGAGCUGGGUUUAGAACGUCGUGAGACAGUUCGGUCCCUAUCUGCCGUGGGCGCUGGAGAACUGAGGGGGGCUGCUCCUAGUACGAGAGGACCGGAGUGGACGCAUCACUGGUGUUCGGGUUGUCAUGCCAAUGGCACUGCCCGGUAGCUAAAUGCGGAAGAGAUAAGUGCUGAAAGCAUCUAAGCACGAAACUUGCCCCGAGAUGAGUUCUCCCUGACUCCUUGAGAGUCCUGAAGGAACGUUGAAGACGACGACGUUGAUAGGCCGGAUGUGUAAGCGCAGCGAUGCGUUGAGCUAACCGGUACUAAUGAACCGUGAGGCUUAACCUU
rnacentral:rRNA from 1 species